GAAGCUGUAGCUCAGUGGUAGAGCACUCACCUAGCAUGUGUGAGGCACUGGGUUCAAUCCUCAGCACCAUAU
rnacentral:tRNA from 1 species